AUUGAACGCUGGCGGCAGGCCUAACACAUGCAAGUCGAGCGGCAGCGGGAAAGUAGCUUGCUACUUUUGCCGGCGAGCGGCGGACGGGUGAGUAAUGCCUGGGAAAUUGCCCAGUCGAGGGGGAUAACAGUUGGAAACGACUGCUAAUACCGCAUACGCCCUACGGGGGAAAGCAGGGGACCUUCGGGCCUUGCGCGAUUGGAUAUGCCCAGGUGGGAUUAGCUAGUUGGUGAGGUAAUAGCUCACCAAGGCGACGAUCCCUAGCUGGUCUGAGAGGCUGAUCAGCCACACGGGAACUGAGACACGGUCCAGACUCCUACGGGAGGCAGCAGUGGGGAAUAUUGCACAAUGGGGGAAACCCUGAUGCAGCCAUGCCGCGUGUGUGAAGAAGGCCUUCGGGUUGUAAAGCACUUUCAGCGAGGAGGAAAGGUUGAUGCCUAAUACGUAUCAACUGUGACGUUACUCGCAGAAGAAGCACCGGCUAACUCCGUGCCAGCCGCCGCCGUAACAC
rnacentral:rRNA from 1 species